GUGGUUAUAGCUUAGUGGUUAAGGCUUUGGGCUAUUGAUCGGCUCCUGAUGGUUGUGAGUUCAAAUCCCAGUGUUGCCA